rnacentral:rRNA from 1 species
AUUGAACGCUGGCGGCAUGCCUUACACAUGCAAGUCGAACGGCAGCGGACCUUCGGGUGCCGGCGAGUGGCGAACGGGUGAGUAAUAUAUCGGAACGUACCUUUCAGUGGGGGAUAACGUAGCGAAAGUUACGCUAAUACCGCAUAUUCUGUGAGCAGGAAAGCAGGGGAUCGCAGGACCUUGCGCUGAUUGAGCGGCCGAUAUCAGAUUAGCUAGUUGGUGAGGUAAAGGCUCACCAAGGCGACGAUCUGUAGCGGGUCUGAGAGGAUGAUCCGCCACACUGGAACUGAGACACGGUCCAGACUCCUACGGGAGGCAGCAGUGGGGAAUUUUGGACAAUGGGCGCAAGCCUGAUCCAGCCAUGCCGCGUGAGUGAAGAAGGCCUCGGUUGUAAGGACUCUUCGGUCCGGGAAGGAAAUACG